UACAGAGGGUGCGAGCGUUAAUCGGAAUUACUGGGCGUAAAGCGCGCGUAGGCGGCUUUGCAAGUCGGGUGUGAAAUCCCCAGGCUUAACCUGGGAACUGCAUUCGAGACUGCAUUGCUAGAGUAUGGGAGAGGGAAGUGGAAUUUCCGGUGUAGCGGUGAAAUGCGUAGAUAUCGGAAGGAACAUCAGUGGCGAAAGCGGCUCUCUGGACCGGUUCUGACGCUCAGGCGCGAAAGCGUGGGGAGCGAUCCGG
rnacentral:rRNA from 1 species